AAUAAAGGCAGUUACAAAUUCUGUACGGAAAUGAGGAUUAUUUAUAAGACUGAAAUUAUUGUACUAUUUGCUGGAAAUGUGGAAUAUGAGGAAUUUAAAGCCAUCCGUGAGUAGUUUUGAUGAUUCAGCUGGAAAUGAUACAGUUUGCUCCCACCUUAAAACAGUACAUGAUAUAUCAUGGACAGGACACCAAAGACAAAGAAAGAUCUAAAUGCCAUAAUUUUUGGCAUCUUGAAAACUGGAAAGGCGGAUCUCU
rnacentral:lncRNA from 1 species